CGACCGGCGCACGGGUGAGUAACGCAUAUGCAACUUACCUAUCAGAGGGGGAUAGCCCGGCGAAAGUCGGAUUAAUACCCCAUGAAACAGGGGUCCCGCAUGGGAAUAUUUGUUAAAGAUUCAUCGCUGAUAGAUAGGCAUGCGUUCCAUUAGGCAGUUGGCGGGGUAACGGCCCACCAAACCGACGAUGGAUAGGGGUUCUGAGAGGAAGGUCCCCCACAUUGGUACUGAGACACGGACCAA
rnacentral:rRNA from 1 species